rnacentral:misc_RNA from 1 species
GAUGAAGAACGUAGCAAAAUGCGAUACUUGGUGUGAAUUGCAGAAUCCCGUGAACCAUCGAGUUUUUGAAUGCAAGUUGCGCCCGAAGCCUUUUGGCCGAGGGCACGUCUGCCUGGGCGUCACGCAUCGCGUCGCCCCCCACAAUUCUUCGUAAGGGGAACUCGUGUUUUGGGGGCGGAUAUUGGUCUCCCGUGCUCACGGCGUGGUUGGCCGAAAUAGGAGUCCCUUCGAUGGACGCACGAACUAGUGGUGGUCGUAAAAACCCUCGUCUUUUGUUUUGUGCUGUUAGUCGCAAGGGAAACUCUAAGAACACCCCAACGUGUCGUCUUUUGACGGAGCUUCGACCGCGACCCCAGGUCAGGCGGGACUACCCGCUGAGUUUAAGCAUAUCAAUAAGCGGAGGA